UUGGAAAAUCCCAAAUGUGAAAAAAAGGCACAAUUGGGUGGCGGGCAGGACAUAAGAGCGCAAAGAGCGGAGGUGGAGGAGGUGAUGGAAAGCGGCAGGAAAUGGUGUCCGCGCCCUUAAAACAGCACGCUCGUAAUUUGUUGGCUGCCUUUCUUUCUCUGAAAGUGCCUUUCCUUUCUCUCCCCUCUGGGAUUCUUUGAUCCAUUGCUGAUUGGUGGUCCGCAUCAAUGGCGACGGAAGAGCUUCCGCCCCUGGCGUCUGACAUUAAGAGGGUGGUGAUCCUCGGCGGUGGCAUCGCCGGCUCUCUCCUCGCCAAGUCUCUCCAGUUCCGCGCCGAUAUUUUCCUCGUUGAUCCGUAUGUAUCUCCCUCUCUCUCUCCUUCACUAUCUUCAAAUGUUGAAGACUAAUGCUAGGUUUUUCUGCAAAGAAUUCUUGGAACUCAAAAUUCUUAGAGUCUAUGGAAGAAGCAAUUCCAGUUGUGUUGAUAUGGUAUUCUUGUUUUGGAACAAUGAAUAAUUGGACUCAUAACAUAAACGAUCAUGGGAUGGGUAUGGACCAAAAUUGAAAAUUUUAGUUUGUCUCAUAAAAUGGAAGAAUGCUUGUGUUGUUCGUUUCACUCAACUAUGAUUCUUUUAGCCGGCCCCUGCAAACCUAUCUUUGAUGUAGGUUGUGAGGAUUGUUUCAUUGACAAUGGUUUUAUUUGAUAGUGCUUGAUACUUGGGCCAGUUUCCCAUAUUGAUCCGUAAUGAAGGAGAACAAUUCAUUUAAGUUGUUUGCUUGCAUAAUUCUACAUAACCUGCGAAAUUCAACAUUUUCUGUGAAUGGCACCUUACACAAUGUUCAUGAUUUUGCACAGGUACAAAGAUGUAACUAAUUCUGGAAAAAACUUGUUCACAUGACUACAUCUCUUUGUAUAGUCUUGUAAAAAUCUUCAUUCUAUUCGUAUGCCAAACUUAUUUUGUAAGUUCUUUUGUGUGUUUAUGUAUGAUUGUUCAAAAACACAAAUGGAAAUAGGAAGGAGUACUUUGAGAUCCCAUGGGCAAGCUUGAGGGCGAUGGUGGAGCCAUCAUUUGCUGAGAGAACGGUGAUUAACCACAGUGAUUACCUUACCAAUGGGAAACUUGUUGUAUCUACUGCAGUUAACAUCAGAGACAACGAAGUGUUGACUUCAAGUGGUCAAUGGAUUGCAUAUGAUUAUCUUGUUAUUGCCACAGGUCAUUUGGAUCAUGUUCCCAAAACAAGAACUGAGAGGCUCGAGCAGUACCAAGCUGGUAAAUAUUUAUAAUGUUAGAUGCUUUAUGAAUUGAGCUCAAACCUGGCCACUUGCACUCAUCUUCUUUGGCCCUCCUGAAUGUGGCCUGCAAGGCUAGAGCUUGGGUAAUGUGAUUUGAAACCACAUCUAUUACUCACCAUUAAAAUUCUAGCCUUAAUUGUAAACUUAAGGCUAGAACUUGGAUAAUUUAAUUCAGUCAUCUAAAGGCUGCAUUCAGGCCUUCAAGUAAUACUUUCUCUGUGUUUUAAGCCCUUUCAAAAUUGUAUAAGAUUGUAAAUUCAUUAAAGUGCACUGUCCUCCAGUUGAAUUAAUUGGCCCCCUUUUUGAAUACUAAUUGUGCAUCAAGUGUAACUUCAUUCUCUUUAUAUCUACAGAGUCUGAAAAGAUAAAAUCUGCCAAUUCCAUUUUGAUUGUUGGAGGGGGCCCCACUGGUGUGGAACUUGCUGGUGAAAUUGUUGUUGACUUUCCUGAUAAGAAGGUGACAUUGGUGCACAGGGGAUCCAGGUUGCUAGAGUUUAUUGGAGCUAAGGCUUCCAAGAAGGCGCUGGAUUGGUUAACAUCGAAGAAAGUUGAGGUGCUCUUAAAUCAAUCUGUUGAUAUAAACACUGCAUCUGAUGGUACUUAUCAAACGUCUGGUGGAGAAACUAUCAGAGCAGAUUGCCACUUUGUGUGCACAGGGAAACCAAUAGGUUCAUCUUGGCUUAAGGACACCAUCCUUAAGGAUAACUUGGAUGGCCAUGGAAAGUUGGUGGUUGAUGAUAACCUAAGGGUCAGGGGCCUCAAAAAUGUUUUCGCCAUAGGAGAUAUCACUGCUAUUCCUGUAAGUUUAUGCAGACUUUCUUUUUUCUUGUUUUUGAUUGCAGUGAUCUAUCUUUUUCCCAUAACUCUAUCUCAAAAUGAAACCAAACCAUUCUUGGGCAACAGGUAUGGACAACUGCUAUAUUUUGCUCAUGUGAAGCAGAGGGGAUAUAAAUCAUUGAUUGUCUAAUGGCCUGAACUGAGCUGUCCCAUGUGUGGCAUUGCUUAAUUCUGACUUGAUGAGGUUUCUGAACAGGGUUGGGAUUUGGUUUGUCACGUCAGGGAAAAAAAAUGUUGGUUUGGACAGUUUGGUUGGGAAAAAAAUGUUAAUUUUUUUCAUCAAAUCCAACUGUGUUAAGAACAGAAGCCACAAACUAGUGCUCGCAAGAAAGCAUGCUGCUACUGGAAGCUUCUUAUGCUUUCCCAUUUUGUCUUCAUAACAUUCACCCUUCUUUUUAGGGGCAAUGCUUGGCUAGUCUUGGAGGAUGUUGUUUUUUUAAUUUUUUUGCUGAAAAUAAUUUGUUUUCAGACUUUAGGUUAUUUGUUUUUCUCCUUUUUUCACCACUUAUCAUAAAUUUUUAGUUGAAUAGAAAAAACCAAAAUAUUUGGGUUUUUCUAAAUGGAAAACGUAACAUGUUGGUUUUUCUUUACUUCUCUAAUGCUUAAUAGAAAUAAAACAUUACAAAAACAAACAACCUAAUAUUUAACACUAUUAAGCAAUAUUUAGUUUUAAGUUCUAUUUAGAAUUAAGGGAAAAAAAAACAAAUAUCACCUUAGUAGUUUGAGUUGCAAAGGAGGCCUAUUUGGCAAAGAAAAUUAGAUAUGACAAACCAUAAUUCUAAUUGUUCCCAAGAAUGGUUAAGUUCAGUUUGUCUCCACCUAUGCAUGCACCUAUCUAGUUGCUUUAGGUUUUCUGGGCAUUGUGGGAAUGUAAGCAAUUCUUGAUUUUCUUUUAUGGAUGUCUGAGCAAGUGAACUCUUUCUCAAAGCUGAUCAACUGGUCUGAUUUCUCACUUCAGAAAAGUGCCUUUAAGCUCAAUCUGAGCCUGAAUCAGUGUCCCCUUGUAAAAAUAGGGUAACAGACGGCCAUUAUCAUUGAAUCCUUUUCAAUCAGGUGAAUGCAGGGGGAAAUGACAUGUUUUUAGUACAAUGAUUGAGUGGUCAGGUCAGGCAAUUAUUAUUGAGCUCACAUCCUAUUCAAUAUGUAUGAUUUCCCAUUUCCCAGAUGCUGAAUAAGGUAUGUUGUACUGUUUGAUGAGAACUUAUUUAUCAUUCAGGAAAUCCAACAGGGGUAUUUGGCGCAAAGGCAUGCCGUGGUGGCUGCCAAGAACAUAAAGAUGUUGAUGUCCGGAGAGAAGGAGACAAAGUUGGCCACUUACAAGCCUGGUUCAGCAAUAGCUAUUGUCUCGCUUGGGAGGAGAGAUGCAGUGGCACAAUUACCCUUUGCAACAAUUUGUGGUUGCAUUCCUGGUAUGAUCAAAUCCAGAGACUUGUU
rnacentral:lncRNA from 1 species